GUCUCAGUUCGGAUUGGAGGCUGAAACCCGCCUCCAUGAAGUUGGAUUCGCUGUAAUCGCGCAUCAGCCAUGGCGCGGUGAAUACGUUCCCGGGCCUUGUACACACCGCCCGUCAAGCCAUGGAAGCUGGGGUGCCUGAAGUUCGUGACCGGAAGGAGCGACCUAGGGCAAAACCGGUGACUGGGGCUAAGUCGUAACAAGGUAGC
rnacentral:rRNA from 1 species